CUCCUACGGGAGGCAGCAGUUAGGAAUAUUCGUCAAUGGGGGAAACCCUGAACGAGCAAUGCCGCGUGAGUGAUGACGGUCCUCUGGAUUGUAAAACUCUGUUGUUUGGAAAGAACUGUAAGAAGAGGAAAUGCUUCUUACUUGACGGUACCAUUCAAGAAAGCCACGGCUAACUACGUGCCAGCAGCCGCGGUAAUACGUAGGUGGCGAGCGUUAUCCGGAUUUAUUGGGCGUAAAGCGUCCGCAGCCGGUUUAUUAAGUCUAGAAUAAAAGCCUGGAGCUUAACUCCAGUUCGUUCUAGAAACUGAUAUACUUGAGUGUAGUAGAGGCAAAUGGAAUUUCUAGUGUAGCGGUAAAAUGCGUAGAUAUUAGAAGGAACACCAGUGGCGAAGGCGAUUUGCUAGGCUAUUACUGACGGUCAGGGACGAAAGCGUGGGGAGCAAAUAGGAUUAGAUACCCUAGUAGUCCACGCUGUAAACGAUGAGUACUAAGUGUCGGGUUACCGGUGCUGAAGUUAACACAUUAAGACUCCGCCGAGAGACG
rnacentral:rRNA from 1 species